UGUUUGAGUAGUUUAUCUGUUAGUGCAUGGAGGACAUUCUGUUUUUGAGAGAUGUAAGCAUUAAUAUGAUAAAUUAUGAUACAGAUCACACAUUUCUAAAUCUGAAACUCAUGCAGCUGAUUACCAAGUCUCAUUGAAAUGAGUCUGCAGGUAUUUAUGAUGUGUAAAAAGCGGUAAUACUAUUUAGAAAUAAUAUUUGUAUUGCCCCUUUCAUACAGGAAAUAGACCUACUGUACAAUAAGGAAAUUGCAUGACAAAUCAGACAUAAAAUUAACAUAAAACGGGGAUAGAAUGCAAUAAUUAAU